rnacentral:lncRNA from 1 species
GUGAGCCACAUCGUGUUUCGGCUUCAAAUGAGCUCGAAUUGCUCGUUUUGUAAACAAGCCGAACGUGAGCUGAAUUUUUUAUCUUGUUUAAUAAACGAACUGAACAUGAGCUGAAGUUAACUCGUUUGCGUUCGGCUCAAUAACAGUUCAAAUAUAUAUAUAUAUAGAGAGAGAGAGAGUGAGGCUACUAUACUAUCGGAAGCACGGAGCCUUCCGUGCUUCCAGGUCGUUUUUGAUGUUGCGACUUUUGAAUCGUCGAUCGGCUCCGUUAAACUUGAUCUAGAGUAUUUGAAGUACCUAGAAAAUAAAUUUUAUGAUUUUACGAUAUCAUUUGCCUAAUAAACGAAGGGGCUCAAAAUCAACGGCUGAAAAAUAAAAAUUUUACAAAAUGUAAUAAUAUGACAUUAAAAUUUUUUACUAUUAAAUUUUUUUACUAUUAUAUAUAUAGAGUCCGGCUAUAGUGCUUGUAAAAGCACCAAGCACUUGAUGCUUGUAAAUUUUUUACUAUUAGAUCUAUGCCUUUUAUCAUUUUCACCCGUUAGAUCAUACUAUUCAACCAACUACCUACUCAACUCUAGGGGGCCCACAUCAUCCUAACCACACAUUCUUUAAUUUAAUUAUAUAUAUAUAUAUAUAUAUAUAUAUAUAUAAAAUACAGAAUUUUAUAUUGAUUUUUAGCCCAUC